rnacentral:ncRNA from 2 species
UAAAAAAGCUAGGGGAGCUACAUGGUGGCUGAGAGGAUCCGUUUCCGACCCUUUGAACCUGAAUUGGUUAAAACCAACGGAGGGAAGCUUCGAUAAACAUGU